rnacentral:rRNA from 1 species
UACGUAGGGUGCAAGCGUUGUCCGGAAUUAUUGGGCGUAAAGAGCUCGUAGGCGGUUUGUUGCGUCGGCUGUGAAAUCCCGAGGCUCAACCUCGGGUCUGCAGUCGAUACGAGCAAACUAGAGUGUUGCAGGGGAGACUGGAAUUCCUGGUGUAGCGGUGAAAUGCGCCAGAUAUCAGGAGGAACACCGGUGGCGAAGGCGGGUCUC